CAAGUCGAACGCGAAAGCCCCCUUCGGGGGGCAAGUAGAGUGGCGCACGGGUGAGUAACACGUAGGUAAUCUACCUUUGGAUUGGGAAUAACCACCGGAAACGGUGGCUAAUACCGAAUAAUGCAGCGGCACCUAAUGGUGACAGUUGUUAAAGCGGGGGAUCGCAAGACCUCGCGUCUAAAGAGGAGCCUGCGGCGGAUUAGCUAGUUGGUAAGGUAACGGCUUACCAAGGCGAUGAUCCGUAGCCGGCCUGAGAGGGCGGUCGGCCACACUGACACUGACAUACGGGUCAGACUCCUACGGGAGGCAGCAGUCGGGAAUUUUGGGCAAUGGGCGAAAGCCUGACCCAGCAACGCCGCGUGAAGGAUGAAAUCCCUCGGGAUGUAAACUUCGCAAGAACGGGAAGAAUAAGCCGGUGUUAACACCUCCGGCGAUGACGGUACUGUUUGUAAGCUCCGGCUAACUCCGUGCCAGCAGCCGCGGUAAUACGGGGGGAGCAAGCGUUGUUCGGAUUUACUGGGCGUAAAGGGCGCGUAGGCGGCCACCGCAAGUCGACUGUGAAAUCUCCGGGCUUAACCCGGAAAGGUCAGCCGAUACUGCGGGGCUAGAGUGCAGAAGGGGCAACUGGAAUUCUCGGUGUAGCGGUGAAAUGCGUAGAUAUCGAGAGGAACACCUGCGGCGAAGGCGGGUUGCUGGGCUGACACUGACGCUGAUGUGCGAAAGCUAGGGGAGCGAACGGGAUUAGAUACCCCGGUAGUCCUAGCCUUAAACGAUGAAUGCUUGGUGUCUGGGGUUACAUAGUCCCCGGGUGCCG
rnacentral:rRNA from 1 species